GUUUUUUUCCUUCUGUUUCUUGCAUUUAUUUUUAUUUUUUUCUUGUCUUGUUGACAGUACAUACCGUAUAACUCUCCGAAUAACGGAAAGGCUCAUGCGAUUUUUGUUGGUGCCUUAAAAAAAACGUGCUGUCUUACAGUCGAUUAAUGAGAAUUUUCAAUACUAUUUGCAUUAUUUGAACUCGACGCUGUGAAAAUGAGUCAGUUUAACUGCAGUCACUGUUGUCAGUGCGCAUGAGUGCGACUCUGAAUCGGUUCUUCACAGCACGAGACCGAGAGUGUGUGUUCAGCUCCGAGGACUGAAGGAGAGCAGGGAUGGGGAGAAGGAGCUCGGAUGCGGCUCGGAGGUUGGGAGUGAGUCUUCAGUGCCUUGGAUUUAUUGUCGUCUGCUCAGAUUUCCAGGAUAAAAUAGACGCAGGCUGAGGUAUUGUAUGGCCGAGUUCCAGAUGUACGUUCUCAUUACAUGUAUGAUUUGUAGAGUAUUGUUAUUAUUGUGAAUAUAUGCAUAAAUCAUAUUUGUUGUACACACUCCAGUAAAUAUUACAUGCAGUGUAAAGUCUGAUAAUAAGAAGAAUGUUUAUUUUUUCAGUAUAAUGUGCUUUACUUUGAAGUGAAAAUGUAUACUUUCUGAAUAUUAGAAAUAUUAUACGAUCUGUACAGUCUAAGUACUAGAUCAAAAGAUCAAAGCUGAAUGUUAUAAGGGCUGUUACGAUCACCUGCCUUUUAUUUAUUUUUAACACCUGACAUUUACGCCAUAAUCCUUAAAGUGCAUUUCUACUCAACGGAAGCUUCACCUACUAAUGUCAAUUAAAAAGGAGUCAGACGGGGUAGGCAGGGGUAUACAGGCGUAGACAGGGGUAUACAGGCAUAGACAGGGGUAGACAGAGGUAG
ensembl:lncRNA